ACACGCUUCUCCGGGCCGCCCACAUCCAUACAUACACAUCCACUCCCAGCAAAGUUAAGUCCCCGGGCCGAGGUGGCCCCAGCGUCCUCACCUUUGGAAAAAAGGGCAGCCAGGCUGAUGAGCACGGGAGACCAAAGGCCCCACCCUUCUGGAGUGACAGCUGUGAGCCCCAAUCCGCAAAGUAGGUCCCACCUUCCUGGUUGCGGGGCGCCCAGCCUCCCUGUGCGCGAAUGGGAGGUGGAUACUCAGAAGAGGACAUGGAUACCAGCCAGCCCCGGAGAGCACGCGUGGGGACCAGCGUGGGUGUCUACACUCACAACAGGUGUCGAAAGGCCCUCUGCCCUGCUUUCUCAAAGCCUCGGGCUGCAGGCAGUCCUCAGGCAAGGACAGACAGCUCAGGACCCUUAACAUAAACGGAAGUGUUCCCAGUUGAUCUCUUGAAUGUGACCCUGGGAUCCCAAAAUGACUCCCAGAUUCCUGUCCCUGGAAGAUUUCCAUCCUGGCACCGCUCGAGGGAAGAUGUUGCGCUGAGAACCUGAUAGGCUCUCUGUUCAUGCCUUCUGGAGGCUCUAAGGCAAACUCGCACCCAGAUACCUAAUUCCCAGGCUAGAGUUCCGAGCUCAAGUCCUCCUCACUGCUAAGGGGAGCCUCGGAAACAAGUCGAUUCUAUGCGGAUUCAGAGAGGAAACCCAGACUCAGUUCAGCGGGGGAUUCACUUCUGAGGGUCCCGGUUGAACGCAGGAAGACCACCCCAGCUUAUUUUAUCACAAAGUCUGUGUUUGCUUGGCACAUAUGCCAAGCAAUAUGAGACGAGCCCAGUGUGAUUCCAUACGGCAACAACCAAGUGGAGGCUUCUUGGAUGGCAAGAAUGAAACGGAACUGUGUUCACUUGGGAAGGCUUGGACUUAGUGUGCCAUGAUGGCGUACGGUGCGCACUGACCACCCAAAGGUAACCAGAGCGCCCUUGGCAUCCUGUCAGAGUGCUAUGACUGUGGGCUUUGCUGGUCCUAGGAGAGGAACCCUAAUUCUUUUGCUCCUCAAUUGUUGCUUACUCUCUCUGAUAUUUGGUCUCUGCCCUUUCUGACACAAGACUGACCAGCUGUCUCCAGACAACUAACCAAGUGAUCAGAAUGCUUCUACAAGUGUCCCCCUCUGGCUACUAUUGUUUUCAGGACCAGAGAGGAUGGAAACUGAGGCUGCCAGGCUCAGGAGUCCAGAUGACACUGGUGCUGUGUCCAGUAGAGCAUCAUUUUGAUGUCAGGAGCCAACAAGUCUGUUUGGAGUGCUUACCUCCUCCAUGAGGCUGGAAGAGAUACUUCCAAGCUGGGGGCUGGAGCUGGGCCACCUUCAGUGAAGCUCUGUGUCAGCAUGGAGGAGCCAGAAGGUCAGCCAAAGCCCAACUUUCCCAGAACAAGACAGUAGCUGCCAUUUCUCCCAGCCAGUGGGUCCAAGCACAGUCGAGCCCUGACACUGCGGAAGCCUGAGCCACAAUCCUGUAAUGAGUGCAACAUUUGACAGGAGUCGGAAGGAUCAAUUCAUUCCCCUGGCCCCGCAUCCAAAUAGCUUGAUUUCUCUUGUCCAUUCAAAAAUCAAAUCUUCUAAUGGGCCCGAAAGGCUGCGUGCUCCAGGGGAGAGCUCACGACCGACCCGGCUUGCAAGAGGGCUUGCCACAAUACGAAACGCCUUCCUCUCCCAUCCCCACAUCAGAAAUCACUUAUUGAAUGGAUGUGCAGGGAGUUAAUCCUGCCUGGUAGGAAGGCUUAACAGCCACAGAGGGGGGAGUUCCAGCCACCAAUUUGUGAGUUUCUAACAUCAAAGCUCUGUAAACAGGCCGCAUUGUGGUCACUCACAGUGUGAGGCUCCGAGUGUAUUUCCUAUGGCCCAAUUUGGAGUGACUUAAAGGAGUUUCUAGGGUACGAACAUAUUGAAGUGUUGAGGAUGGGGGAAGCUCUCACUUAGAGAGACUCCCAUGAGGUACCACAAGCCUUCCAACACCACCAAGGUAAUAAAAGGGCCUCUCCAGCUUCCUUUAGGCACUGACCUCCCUAUACCGGUAGAGCUCUGUGUGAGAUUCGGGGAUGGAAUGUUAAGGACGCGCCUGACUGGCCUCUUACUCGGCACCAACCUGCCACUCAAAGUCGGUAUGGCCCCUCCUACACAAACACAUACAUGUCCUCAGGAAAACUCUAUCAAGUCUGCGCCAGCUUCCCGGUUUUAUCGAAAGGUCUGUGUUUGCUUGGCACUUAAGCCGAUCAAUAUGGGAUGCAUCCAGUGUGACUCCACACAGCCAGUGGCUUGUAAACUCCAAUUUGACUUGUCACAUGAGCAACGUCAGUCUCAGAAAAGAAAAAAAAACAGUGACUAGUGACUAAUGAUUCACUUGGGAGUGAGUUCUCUGGGUCUGAAAAUAACACAGAGGCAGUGACCAAGUGGUACCACCACUGAUGUGUGACUUCUCUUGUGGGGGAUGGUGGGGGCAAGGACAAGCAUCCGUUCACCCCAGGCACAGUGCCAGCGGCACACCACAGAAAUGAGUCCACCCAAGACUGGCUUCCUCGUGGUUUCGUGUGUUCGGGGUCACUCUUAAGAGCGUGCUGGGCUCCGGAGGCAGCAUUGCUUUGCGGCAUGAGGAACAACCCCAGCUGGCAGAGCCCUGAGCCUCCACCCCACCCCCGCCCUCAGCAGUUGCUCUUCACUUCUGCUCCUUCUGGGAGGACACCUCCUAGGUCUUGUAACUUUCUUGUAACCUGUGUGAGCUCUUUACUCCUUCCAGGAGAGACUGUAGUUAUUGUCUGGAGGCAAUAACUACAAGGCAGGUGCUUAAGAGGGAGGAAGUAUAAAAAGAUAAUUCAAACAUUUC